GGGUGGUUAGCUCAGUUGGUUAGAGCGCUGCUUUCACACAGCAGAGGUCGGAGGUUCAAAUCCUCCACCACCCA
rnacentral:tRNA from 1 species